AUGAACGCCCGACCUCGAGCUUCCGCUGGCGAGCCGCUCUACCACUUGAUCAGGACGGGGUCAGCCUGGUCCACUCCGUUCGGCGAACCCCGCGCCUCGACGACAUGGAUUCGCGCCGAGCUCCGCCAUCCCCGCCGCUCCUCUGCAUCCCGCUUUUGCCUCCCCUGCUUCUGCGUGUGUAGCCCACGCGAGGUCAAGGACAACCAGCGACCAGCGCCCGCGUUGACUUCCCGGUCGCAAGCUGCCAGCCCGCUGAGUCCCUCCCUCAAGGCCCAGUCUCCCCGACCCAUCCGCGCGAAGCCAGCCCACUAUGAGCAGCCGCCCUAA
rnacentral:rRNA from 1 species